UUUCAGUUUAGCUGAGUUGCUAUUGGUUAAGGCAACGCAUGUCCCGCCUCCUUCACGUUAGAGACGCUGCGGUAGUGUGUGAAAAAUACACAGAGAGCAGCAGGACGAUAAUUGAGACACAGAGGUUUUGGAGUGAUGAAACUUUAAAAAAUACACUUUAUAUUGUUAAAAGGAGGAACUGUGUAAACAGAGAAAAGUCCGGUGAACCACUGAAGCGACCCUGGGAACAUCUUGUGUUUGUUUUAUUAUUUUAUUGUCCCGGCUGGGUUUUUUGGAUACCCUGAGAUCCUGGACCGUGGAUUUGGAGUGAUUCUCUCCCUGACGAGGGGGAUGGCGAGCUACCCGCGUGAGCAUUUUGGAUUGAGGAGGAACCUUUCCAUUCUUCAUUCUCUGUCCUGCCAGAGUGGUAGGGUUGUGGGGAAGGACUUCCAAGAACUUUCGAAUUGAACUAUUUCUUUUGGGUAAAACAUUUUAUUUUAUUUAGGGUGCACCCGGUAAAAAAGACAUUUCAAAUAAGAACAAAAGUAACUGUCGGCAGUGUAUGUAAACUGUUUAUUUUCUAUAUAUGUUAAUACAGUGUUUUGCUUAAAUCUA